UCAAAGGCCUUACUAAAGGCCAUACAUGAAAAUUCUUAAAUUAGG
rfam:Buceros rhinoceros silvestris contig45316, whole genome shotgun sequence.